UACGGAGGAUGCGAGCGUUAUCCGGAUUUAUUGGGUUUAAAGGGUGCGUAGGCAGGCUUUUAAGUCAGCGGUAAAAAUUCGGGGCUCAACCCCGUCCGGCCGUUGAAACUGGGGGUCUUGAGUGGGCGAGAAGAAGGCGGAAUGCGUGGUGUAGCGGUGAAAUGCAUAGAUAUCACGCAGAACUCCGAUUGCGAAGGCAGCGUACCGGCAUCCAACUGACGCUGAGGCACGAAAGCGUGGGGAUCAAACAGG
rnacentral:rRNA from 1 species